GCUUGUCUCAAAGAUUAAGCCAUGCAUGUCUCAGUAUAAGCUUCUAUACGGUGAAACUGCGAAUGGCUCAUUAAAACAGUUACAGUUCAUUUGAUGGUUACUCCUUACAUGGAUAACUGUGGUAAUUCUAGAGCUAAUACAUGCGUAAAAUCCCGACUCUCGCGGGGAGGGAUGUAUUUAUUAGAUAAAAAACCAAUGCGGGGCAACCCGGUUUUGUGGUGAAUCAUAGUAACUUUUCGGAUCGCAUAGCUUCACGCUGGCGAUAGUUCAUUCAAAUUUCUGCCCUAUCAGCUUUCGACGGUAGUGUAGUGGACUACCGUGGCGUUAACGGGUGACGGAGAAUUAGGGUUCGAUUCCGGAGAGGGAGCCUGAGAAACGGCUACCACAUCCAAGGAAGGCAGCAGG
rnacentral:rRNA from 1 species